UACGGAGGGUGCGAGCGUUGUCCGGAAUUAUUGGGCGUAAAGAGCGUGUAGGCGGCCCGACCAGUCCGCUGUGAAAGUCCAGGGCUCAACCCUGGAAUGCCGGUGGAUACUGUCGGGCUAGAGUCCGGAAUGGGCGAGUGGAAUUCCUGGUGUAGCGGUGAAAUGCGCAGAUAUCAGGAGGAACACCAAUGGCGAAGGCAGCUCGCUGGGACGUGACUGACGCUGAGACGCGAAAGCGUGGGGAGCAAACAGG
rnacentral:rRNA from 1 species